rnacentral:rRNA from 1 species
AUUGAACGCUGGCGGCAGGCUUAACACAUGCAAGUCGAGCGGGGGAAGGUAGCUUGCUACCGGACCUAGCGGCGGACGGGUGAGUAAUGCUUAGGAAUCUGCCUAUUAGUGGGGGACAACAUCUCGAAAGGGAUGCUAAUACCGCAUACGUCCUACGGGAGAAAGCAGGGGAUCUUCGGACCUUGCGCUAAUAGAUGAGCCUAAGUCGGAUUAGCUAGUUGGUGGGGUAAAGGCCUACCAAGGCGACGAUCUGUAGCGGGUCUGAGAGGAUGAUCCGCCACACUGGGACUGAGACACGGCCCAGACUCCUACGGGAGGCAGCAGUGGGGAAUAUUGGACAAUGGGGGGAACCCUGAGCCAGCCAUGCCGCGUGUGUGAAGAAGGCCUUAUGGUUGUAAAGCACUUUAAGCGAGGAGGAGGCUACUUUAGUUAAUACCUAGAGAUAGUGGACGUUACUCGCAGAAUAAGCACCGGCUAACUCUGUG